GACGAACGCUGGCGGCGUGCUUAACACAUGCAAGUCGAGCGGUAAGGCCCUUUCGGGGGUACACGAGCGGCGAACGGGUGAGUAACACGUGGGUGACCUGCCCUCAGCUCUGGGAUAAGCCUGGGAAACCGGGUCUAAUACUGGAUAUGACUCCAUGACGCAUGUUGUGGGGUGGAAAGCCUUGUGCGGCUGAGGAUGGGCCCGCGGCCUAUCAGCUUGUUGGUGGGGUGANGGCCUACCAAGGCGACGACGGGUAGCCGGCCUGAGAGGGCGACCGGCCACACUGGGACUGAGACACGGCCCAGACUCCUACGGGAGGCAGCAGGUGGGGAAUCUUGCGCAAUGGGCGAAAGCCUGACGCAGCGACGUCGCGUGAGGGAUGACGGCCU
rnacentral:rRNA from 1 species